CUACACGACCGUACCGCAAACCGACACUGGUGCGCGAGAUGAGUAUUCUAAGGCGCUUGAGAGAACUCAGGAGAAGGAACUCGGCAAAUUGACACCGUAACUUCGGAAGAAGGUGUGCCUUUAGUAGGUGAACCUGUACAAGGGGAGCCCAAUGAGGUUGCAAAAAAUCGGUGGCUGCGACUGUUUAAUAAAAACACAGCACUCUGCAAACACGAAAGUGGACGUAUAGGGUGUGACGCCUGCCCGGUGCUGGAAGAUUAAAUGAUGGGGUGCAAGCUCUUGAUUGAAGUCCCAGUAAACGGCGGCCGUAACAAUAACGGUCCUAAGGUAGCGAAAUUCCUUGUCGGGUAAGUUCCGACCUGCACGAAUGGCGUAACGAUGGCCACACUGUCUCCUCCUGAGACUCAGCGAAGUUGAAAUGUUUGUGAUGAUGCAAUCUCCCCGCGGAAAGACGGAAAGACCCCAUGAACCUUUACUGUAGCUUUGUAUUGGACUUUGAACAGAUCUGUGUAGGAUAGGUGGGAGGCUUUGAAGUGUGGUCGCUAGAUCGCAUGGAGCCAACGUUGAAAUACCACCCUGGUGUGUUUGAGGUUCUAACCUAGGCCCGUAAUCCGGGUCGGGGACAGUGCAUGGUAGGCAGUUUGACUGGGGCGGUCUCCUCCCAAAGCGUAACGGAGGAGUUCGAAGGUACGCUAGGUACGGUCGGACAUCGUGCUAAUAGUGCAAUGGCAUAAGCGUGCUUAACUGCGAGACUGACAAGUCGAGCAGAUGCGAAAGCAGGACAUAGUGAUCCGGUGGUUCUGUAUGGAAGGGCCAUCGCUCAACGGAUAAAAGGUACUCUGGGGAUAACAGGCUGAUACCACCCAAGAGUUCAUAUCGACGGCGGUGUUUGGCACCUCGAUGUCGGCUCAUCUCAUCCUGGGGCUGUAGCCGGUCCCAAGGGUAUGGCUGUUCGCCAUUUAAAGAGGUACGUGAGCUGGGCUUAAAACGUCGUGAGACAGUUUGGUCCCUAUCUUCCGUGGGCGCUGCAGAUUUGAGGAAGCCUGCUCCUAGUACGAGAGGACCGGAGUGGACACACCUCUGGUGUAUCGGUUGUCACGCCAGUGGCAUUGCCGAGUAGCUACGUGUGGAAGAGAUAACCGCUGAAAGCAUCUAAGCGGGAAACUCGUUUCAAGAUGAGAUCUGCCGGGGCCUUGAGCCCCCUAAAGAGUCGUUCAAGACCAGGACGUUGAUAGGUCGGGUGUGGAAGCGCAGUAAUGCGUUAAGCUAACCGAUACUAAUUGCUCGUGCGGCUUGAUCA
rnacentral:rRNA from 1 species